CCUACGGGUGGCAGCAGUAGGGAAUAUUGCUCAAUGGGCGAAACCCUGAAGCAGCAACGCCGCGUGGAGGAUGAAGGUUUUCGGAUUGUAAACUCCUUUUGUUAGAGAAGAUAAUGACGGUAUCUAACGAAUAAGCACUGGCUAAUACCGUGUCAGCAGCCGCGGUAAUACGUAGGGUGCAAGCGUUACGCGGAAUCACUGGGCGUAAAGUGCGCGUAGGCGGGAUAUCAAGUCAGAUGUGAAAGCCUAUGGCUUAACCAUAGAGCUGCAUUUGAAACUGUUAUUCUAGAGUAUGGGAGAGGUAGGUGGAAUUCUUGGUGUAGCGGUAAAAUGCGUAGAGAUCAAGAGGAAUACUCGUGGCGAAGGCGACCUGCUGGAACAUAACUGACGCUGAUGCGCGAAAGCGUGGGGAGCAAACAGGAUUAGAUACCCCUGUAGUC
rnacentral:rRNA from 1 species